UACGUAGGGUGCAAGCGUUAAUCGGAAUUACUGGGCGUAAAGCGUGCGCAGGCGGUUAUGUAAGACAGGUGUGAAAUCCCCGGGCUUAACCUGGGAACUGCAUUUGUGACUGCAUAGCUAGAGUACGGUAGAGGGGGGAUGGAAUUCCGCGUGUAGCAGUGAAAAUGCGCAGAUAUCAGGAGGAACACCGAUGGCGAAGGCAGGUCUCUGGGCAUUUAAACUACGUGAGGGAGCGAAAAGCAUGGGGGGAGCAA
rnacentral:rRNA from 1 species